UACGGGGGGGGCAAGCGUUGUUCGGAAUUACUGGGCGUAAAGGGCGCGUAGGCGGCCUGCCAAGUCGGACGUGAAAUCCCUCGGCUCAACCGGGGAACUGCGUCCGAUACUGGCGAGGCUUGAAUCCGGGAGAGGGAUGUGGAAUUCCAGGUGUAGCGGUGAAAUGCGUAGAUAUCUGGAGGAGCACCAGUGGCGAAGGCGGCAUCCUGGACCGGCAUUGACGCUGAGGCGCGAAAGCUAGGGCAGCAAACGGG
rnacentral:rRNA from 1 species